rfam:Ictidomys tridecemlineatus contig014909, whole genome shotgun sequence.
GGGAAUGUGGCUCAGUGGUAGAGCGCUUGCCUGGCAUGCAUGAGGCACUGGGUUCAAUCCUCAGCACCA